CUCCAUGGCGGACGGUGUGUGGGGAUCCUCGAUCCGCCGGCCCAGUUUGAUGGUUGAGUCAGCCGGCACUGCUACCCGCACCGUCCGCCACCUUG
rnacentral:antisense_RNA from 1 species